rnacentral:rRNA from 1 species
UACGUAGGGUGCAAGCGUUGUCCGGAAUUAUUGGGCGUAAAGAGCUCGUAGGCGGUUCGUCGCGUCGGCUGUGAAAUCCCGAGGCUCAACCUCGGGUCUGCAGUCGAUACGGGCGGACUGGAGUUCGGCAGGGGGGACUGGAAUUCCUGGUGUAGCGGUGAAAUGCGCAGAUAUCGGGAGGAACACCCGUAGCGAAGGCGGCACUCUGGGCCGGUACUGACGCUGAGGAGCGAAAGCGUGGGGAGCAAACAGG